rnacentral:rRNA from 1 species
AUUGAACGCUGGCGGCAGGCCUAACACAUGCAAGUCGAGCGGAUGAAGGGAGCUUGCUCCUGGAUUCAGCGGUGGACGGGUGAGUAAUGCCUAGGAGUCUGCCUGGUAGUGGGGGAUAACGUCCGGAAACGGGCGCUAAUACCGCAUACGUCCUGAGGGAGAAAGUGGGGGAUCUUCGGACCUCACGCUAUCAGAUGAGCCUAGGUCGGAUUAGCUAGUUGGUGGGGUAAAGGCCUACCAAGGCGACGAUCCGUAACUGGUCUGAGAGGAUGAUCAGUCACACUGGAACUGAGACACGGUCCAGACUCCUACGGGAGGCAGCAGUGGGGAAUAUUGGACAAUGGGCGAAAGCCUGAUCCAGCCAUGCCGCGUGUGUGAAGGAGGUCUUCGGAUUGUAAAGCACUUUAAGUUGGGAGGAAGGGCAGUAAGUUAAUACCUUGCUGUUUUGACGUUACCAACAGAAUAAGCACCGGCUAACUUCGUG